rnacentral:pre_miRNA from 1 species
AACAUGAUUGCUGGAUCACAUGGUAAGAAUAUGUUUAAUUUUUAAGAAACUGCUAAACUGUCUUCUAGAGUGGCUGUACCAUUUGCAUUCCCACCAGCGAU